UACGUAGGGUGCGAGCGUUGUCCGGAAUUAUUGGGCGUAAAGGACUCGUAGGCGGUUUGUCGCGUCGGGAGUGAAAACCUUGGGCUUAACUCAGGGCUUGCUUUCGAUACGGGCAGACUAGAGGUAUGCAGGGGAGAACGGAAUUCCUGGUGUAGCGGUGAAAUGCGCAGAUAUCAGGAGGAACACCGGUGGCGAAGGCGGUUCUCUGGGCAUGAUCUGACGCUGAGGAGCGAAAGUGUGGGGAGCGAACAGG
rnacentral:rRNA from 1 species